GCAAGUCGAACGAACUAGUUUACUAGUUAGUGGCGAACGGGUGAGGAACACGUAAGUAAUCUACCUUAGACACGAGGAUAACUCCGGGAAACUGGAGCUAAUACUGGAUAGGAUAUGUAGUCAUAAGACAACAUAUUUAAAGUAGCUUUCGGGCUACGGUGUAAGAGGAACUUGCGUCGCAUUAGAUAGUUGGUGAGGUAACGGCUCACCAAGUCAACGAUGCGUAGCUGGGCUGAAAGGCCGAAC
rnacentral:rRNA from 1 species